rnacentral:rRNA from 1 species
UACGUAGGGUGCGAGCGUUAAUCGGAAUUACUGGGCGUAAAGCGUGCGCAGGCGGCUUUGCAAGACAGAUGUGAAAUCCCCGGGCUUAACCUGGGAACUGCAUUUGUGACUGCAUGGCUGGAGUGCGGCAGAGGGGGGUGGAAUGCCGCGUGUAGCAGUGAAAUGCGUAGAGAUGCGGCGGAACACCGAUGGCGAAGGCAGCCCCCUGGGCUGAGAUUGACGCUCAGGCACGAAAGCGUGGGGAGCAAACAGG